rnacentral:rRNA from 1 species
AUACGGAAGGUGCAAGCGUUAUCCGGAAUCACUGGGUUUAAAGGGUGCGUAGGCGGCCCUGUCAGUCAGAGGUGAAAUCCUACGGCUUAACCGUAGCAUUGCCUUUGAUACUGCGAGGCUUGAAUCAGGCUGAGGUCAGCGGAAUGUGACAUGUAGCGGUGAAAUGCAUAGAUAUGUCAUAGAACACCAAUUGCGAAGGCAGCUGACUAGACCUAGAUUGACGCUGAGGCACGAAAGCGUGGGGAGCGAACAGGAUUAGAAACCCCAGUAGUCC